rnacentral:rRNA from 1 species
GUGGGGAAUAUUGGACAAUGGGCGAAAGCCUGAUCCAGCCAUGCCGCGUGUGUGAAGAAGGUCUUCGGAUUGUAAAGCACUUUAAGUUGGGAGGAAGGGCAGUAAGUUAAUACCUUGCUGUUUUGACGUUACCGACAGAAUAAGCACCGGCUAACUUCGUGCCAGCAGCCGCGGUAAUACGAAGGGUGCAAGCGUUAAUCGGAAUUACUGGGCGUAAAGCGCGCGUAGGUGGUUUUGUAAGUUGGAGGUGAAAUCCCCGGGCUCAACCUGGGAACUGCCUCAAAAACUGCAUGACUAGAGUACGGUAGAGGGUAGUGGAAUUUCCUGUGUAGCGGUGAAAUGCGUAGAUAUAGGAAGGAACACCAGUGGCGAAGGCGACUACCUGGACUGAUACUGACACUGAGGUGCGAAAGCGUGGGGAGCAAACAGGAUUAGAUACCCUUGUAGUCC